UGCGACUGAAAUGGGAAGAGCCCAGCGCAUAAGCUCGCUUUGUCCUUAACCGGGCGCGAGCGGUGUUGCGUUUCGGAGGGUCCGGCACGCCGCCUUACGACGCCUAAGUCAUGCUUGAAAGCGGCCACUACCCAUGGAGGGUGAAAGGCCCGUCUGGCGGAGCCCGUAAGGGCAUAAGUGAGGCGGUCGGAAAGGACCUUUCCGUAGAGUCGGGUUGCUUGAGAGUGCAGCCCAAAGCAGGUGGUAAACUCCAUCUAAGGACUAAUAUGACCACGAGACCGA
rnacentral:rRNA from 1 species